rnacentral:rRNA from 1 species
GACGAACGCUGGCGGCGUGCUUAACACAUGCAAGUCGAACGGUAAGGCCCUUCGGGGUACACGAGUGGCGAACGGGUGAGUAACACGUGGGUGAUCUGCCCUGCACUUCGGGAUAAGCCUGGGAAACUGGGUCUAAUACCGGAUAGGACCCUGGGAUGCAUGUCCUGGGGUGGAAAGCUUUUGCGGGGUGGGAUGGGCCCGCGGCCUAUCAGCUUGUUGGUGGGGUGAUGGCCUACCAAGGCGACGCCGGGUAGCCGGCCUGAGAGGGUGACCGGCCACACUGAGACUGAGAUACGGCCCAGACUCCUACGGGAGGCAGCAGUGGGGAAUAUUGCACAAUGGGCGCAAGCCUGAUGCAGCGACGCCGCGUGAGGGAUGACGGGCUUCGGGUUGUAAACCUCUUUCAGCACCGACGAAGCGCAAGUGACGGUAGGUGCAGAAGAAGGACCGGCCAACUACGUGCCAGCCGCCGCGGUAA